UGAGACUGUGGUAGUGUGAGGACAAGUGGUCAGGAGGUUACCGGAGAGAGGUGAGGCAGAGACGCAAAAACAGUCUGGAACCAGGUACCCCCAGGCUCCCCUGCCCCAGGACACCCCUUGGUCUCUACCCAGACCUUAAGGACCCGGGUGGCUCGCGCGCCGCCAUUUCCACAGGAUCCAGGUAAGUACUGUGUCUGUGUAAAAAUGUCUUUGCAGAUAAAAUGACUCUGGAGUUGGUGGUGAUGUAUUCAGGGCCCUGACAUCAUCACA